UACGUAGGUGGCAAGCGUUGUCCGGAAUUAUUGGGCGUAAAGCGCGCGCAGGCGGUCCCUUAAGUCUGAUGUGAAAGCCCACGGCUCAACCGUGGAGGGUCAUUGGAAACUGGGGGACUUGAGUGCAGAAGAGGAAAGUGGAAUUCCAUGUGUAGCGGUGAAAUGCGUAGAGAUGUGGAGGAACACCAGUGGCGAAGGCGACUUUCAGGUCUGUAACUGACGCUGAGGCGCGAAAGCGUGGGGAGCAAACAGG
rnacentral:rRNA from 1 species